rnacentral:tRNA from 1 species
UGUCCAGGGGCGGGAAUCGAACCCACAACCUUCUGCUUACCGGGCAGGUGCCAUGUCCACUAGGCUACCCUGUAC